rnacentral:rRNA from 1 species
AUUGAACGCUGACGGCAGGCCUAACACAUGCAAGUCGGGCGAGCGGCGGACGGGUGAGUAAUGUAUGGGGAUCUGCCUGAUGGAGGGGGAUAACUACUGGACACGGUAGCUAAUACCGCAUACCAUACGAUGAACCCAUAUGGGAUUAGCUUGUAGGUGUGGUAACGGCUCACCUAGGCGACGAUCCCUAGCUUGUCUGAGAGGAUGAUCAGCCACACUGGGAGUGAGAAACGGGCCCGACGCCUAAGGGAGUCAGGAGUGGGGAAUCUUGCACAAUGGUGGAAAGCAUGAUGCAGCCAUGCCGCGUGUAUGAAGAAGGCGUGCGGGUGUUAAAGUAGUUUCAGUGGGGAGGCGUUACCCACAGAAUAAGCACCGGCUAACUACGUGCCAGAAGCCGCGGUAAUUC